rnacentral:rRNA from 1 species
CCUACGGGGGGCAGCAGUGGGGAAUAUUGGGCAAUGGGCGCAAGCCUGACCCAGCAACGCCGCGUGAAGGAAGAAGGCUUUCGGGUUGUAAACUUCUUUUAUGAGGGACGAAAGAAAUGACGGUACCUCAUGAAUAAGCCACGGCUAACUACGUGCCAGCAGCCGCGGUAAUACGUAGGUGGCAAGCGUUAUCCGGAUUUAUUGGGUUUAAAGGGUGCGUAGGCGGAAUGCCAAGUCAGCGGUAAAAUCGCGGGGCUCAACCUCGCUCCGCCGUUGAAACUGGCGUUCUUGAGUGGGCGAGAAGUAUGCGGAAUGCGUGGUGUAGCGGUGAAAUGCAUAGAUAUCACGCAGAACUCCGAUUGCGAAGGCAGCAUACCGGCGCCCAACUGACGCUGAAGCACGAAAGCGUGGGUAUCGAACAGGAUUAGAUACCCCAGUAGUC